GAUGAACGCUGGCGGCGUGCCUAAUACAUGCAAGUCGAGCGAACGGACGAGAAGCUUGCUUCUCUGAUGUUAGCGGCGGACGGGUGAGUAACACGUGGAUAACCUACCUAUAAGACUGGGAUAACUUCGGGAAACCGUAGCUAAUACCGGAUAAUAUUUUGAACCGCAUGGUUCAAAAGUGAAAGACGGUCUUGCUGUCACUUAUAGAUGGAUCCGCGCUGCAUUAGCUAGUUGGUAAGGUAACGGCUUACCAAGGCAACGAUGCAUAGCCGACCUGAGAGGGUGAUCGGCCACACUGGAACUGAGAAACGGUACAGACUCCUACGGGAGGCAGCAGUAGGGAAUCUUCCGCAAUGGGCGAAAGCCUGACGGAGCAACGCCGCGUGAGUGAUGAAGGUCUUCGGAUCGUAAAACUCUGUUAUUAGGGAAGAACAUAUGUGUAAGUAACUGUGCACAUCUUGACGGUACCUAAUCAGAAAGACACGGCUAACUACGUG
rnacentral:rRNA from 1 species